UACGAACUGUGCGAACGUUAUUCGGAAUCACUGGGCUUACAGGGUGCGUAGGCGGCUCAACAAGUCAGGUGUGAAAGCCCCCGGCUCAACCGGGGAACUGCGCUUGAAACUGUUAGGCUCGAGUCAGCUAGAGGUACACGGAACUUCCAGUGGAGCGGUGAAAUGUGUUGAUAUUGGAAGGAACACCGGAGGCGAAAGCGGUGUACUGGGGCUGGUCUGACGCUGAGGCGCGAAAGCUAGGGGAGCGAACAGG
rnacentral:rRNA from 1 species